rnacentral:rRNA from 1 species
AUUGAACGCUGGCGGCAGGCCUAACACAUGCAAGUCGAGCGAGCGGCGGACGGGUGAGUAAUGUCUGGGAAACUGCCGGAUGGAGGGGGAUAACUACUGGAAACGGUAGCUAAUACCGCAUACCAUCAGAUGUGCCCAGAUUGUAUUAGCUGGUAGGUGGGGGAACGGCUCACAUAGGCAACGAUCCCUAGCUGGUCUGAGAGGAUGACCAGCCACACUGAAACCGAGACACGGUCCAGACUACUACGGGAGGCAGCAGUGGGGAAGAUUGCACAAUGGGCGCAAGCCUGAUGCAGCCAUGCCGCGUGUGUGAAGAAGGCCUUCGGGUUGUAAAGCACUUUCAGCGGGGAGGCGUUACCCGCAGAAGAAGCACCGGCUAACUCCGUGCCAGCAGCCGCGGUAAUUC